ACCUCUGGUCCUCACACAGGCAAAGUGAGCCGUCUCUCCAGACCGAUGCAACACUGUUUUACAUCAAACUUACAAGAAUUGCUCUGCUGGGUAUAUAGCUCAGUGGAAGAACACUAGCCUGGCAUGUAUGAGGCCAUAGGUUCAGUCCCCAAUGGUGCAGAAACAAAACCAGCAACAACAAGCCCACAAACCAUCACCACCAGCAGCAGCAGCAACCACCACCACAAACUAGGCAAAGAUUCCAUUUCAAAAAGAAAGAUCUAAACAAACAGCGGACCUGCAGGUUUAAGGGAUUACUGUGCAUUUCAGGUGCCACCCUGGUGUUUUUGUUGGCCUGCAGUGCUGCUACAUUGUAUCCAAUGACAAACUCAGAAGAAACAAAAGCUUUCCCAGCCAUGAAUAGGCAGAAACUUCUGGGAAGCAAGACAAGUGAAGACGUAUGACUCGACAAACAACACAGACUUAAUUGCUUACAGCUUCCCGGAGACACAAUCUCUUCAGUUCCUCCAGCCUCUGGCGCAGCGUCUCCUCCAGAGCUUCCUGCCUGGAUUUCAAGGCAGCCAACAUGUCUUUCUUGGCCGACUGAGAGCUAUCUGAUUCCUGAGAACCUGUUGAUAAACAGCGGGGGUUACUAGGCGGCUCACAGGGGACACACAUCUGGACCACUAAUGAAUUCCACCGGAGCUCACAACUCAGAUAUGGGAUUUACCCCGGGAAUCAAGGAGCGUGAAAUGAGACAGGUGUGCAGUGUUCCAAGCACGAGGAGUGAAUUCAAAUACCAUGUGGAAUGGAUAGCUUCGCAAAAGACUGGCAGGGGAGUGGACUCUCCCAAACAAGAGCACUGUCAUUUUUGAUUGUCUUAAGACAUGUCACACCAGCCAAUUUUCAUACGUUUUACAAAGGAAGGGGGAAAGUAAAGUUUAAGUUAAUAUUAGUAAGUUUAAGUUAAUAUUAGAAAUUUC
rnacentral:lncRNA from 1 species